GAUGAACGCAAGCUACAGGCUUAACACAUGCAAGUCGAGGGGAAACGAUAUCGAAAGCUUGCUUUUGAUGGGCGUCGACCGGCGCACGGGUGAGUAACGCGUAUCCAACCUGCCCACCACUUGGGGAUAACCUUGCGAAAGUAAGACUAAUACCCAAUGAUAUCUCUAGAAGACAUCUGAAAGAGAUUAAAGAUUUAUCGGUGAUGGAUGGGGAUGCGUCUGAUUAGCUUGUUGGCGGGGUAACGGCCCACCAAGGCUACGAUCAGUAGGGGUUCUGAGAGGAAGGUCCCCCACAUUGGAACUGAGACACGGUCCAAACUCCUACGGGAGGCAGCAGUGAGGAAUAUUGGUCAAUGGGCGAGAGCCUGAACCAGCCAAGUAGCGUGCAGGAUGACGGCCCUAUGGGUUGUAAACUGCUUUUAUAAGGGAAUAAAGUGGGAGUCGUGACUCUUUUUGCAUGUACCUUAUGAAUAAGGACCGGCUAAUUCCGUGCCAGCCGCCGCUGUAA
rnacentral:rRNA from 1 species